AUUCCCCUGGGGUGCUCGUUACGGUUUCAAUUCUUUGAGCCGAUAAUCAUCUAACCCUGGCUGUCGACCCGAUGGGUGCUGUUGUGCGCGUCCUACCUGGAAUCGCCUGAUGCAUCCGGCAGACAGCCACCUUCUAGAGGCUUGGGUUCAAGAUGCCGACCGGACGACACCUGCGGGGGACCC
rnacentral:other from 1 species